GGGAGUAAUGGCCUGAAAUAAAAUAUAGAAUAGUGGAUUAUUACUGCCUAGAACUUGGGGUGGGGUUUUGCAUGGUUACCAUUUUAUUUGCACUCAAUCAGUGAACCAAAAAAGCAUUUAAACUGGAUAUAUCAGAGCGUGACUUUGCUCAUGCUAUAAUGUCAUAUAAGCAACAGUUUCCAUUUACAGAUGAAAGAUAUUUUUUUUUCUUUAUUUUUCGUCUUCACUGCAUAAAAAUGUAUUCUCAAUUUUAUUUUAUUAGUUGACACUUUAAGCUUU
rnacentral:lncRNA from 1 species